rnacentral:lncRNA from 9 species
GGCAAGUAUUACCACACACCUAAUCCUGGGAACAACUCUGGAAGCAACUCUGGAAACUACAGUUAGAAGUGUCAUCUCAUGCCAGUGUGGUAACCCCAACAAAUAGCUUUCUCUUUGAUUUAUUUAGUCCAUAUACAUUUGAUUGCCCAUAAUGAGUAAAGAACUGCCCUAGCAAUAGUGGCUGGACAAAGGAAAAUCCUCAAAAGUUAACUAACUCUCCAAAGGAAAAGAAGUGUGCAGAAUUGCUAAUAUUGAAGCAUCAGACAUGUGGAGGGGACAGCAGUCAGAAUCUGAUCUUUGUGGGCAACCCCUCUCAAGAGGACAGUUCAUCGCAGCUUCCUCAUCAAUCAAGGACCUGUCAGAUAUGUGACCUGUUCAUCUACCUUCUUUCCCAGGCUGCGUGUAUGUGGGUGAUGGUCGAAGGAGAUCAAGGUAAGGCCUGUUGCCUGAAUAAUUGCCUGUUCUUUCUGGAAUAUGAAGUGUUCUCACCUUUGAGCUCUAGUCUCAAGCACUUAGCCCUAGUUCUAACAUGGUACUACAUACUCAUUUGUGCCAAUGAAAGGCUAUUAAUGGUUUCUCAUUGUCUGAAAAACAAAAUUAUAAUUUCUUAGAAGAUCGUAGUUAUGGCGUUUGAUCUGUACCCAGCUUUCUAGCCUCACCUGUCC